rnacentral:lncRNA from 13 species
UGAAAAACUCUUCUAAUGGAAUCCAGCUUGAAAGCUACUCAAGAGCAGCUAACUGAGCAAAUAGCAGAAACAGUUUGCCAAGAACAGAACAGUAGAAAACCCCAGGCAGAGCUGAAGACAGUGACAGAAGGGAUUAUUGCUUCUGAAGAAGAAAAAAAUGAUUACAAGUUUCCUGAGGCCUCCCAGUCAAGAUUCCUGUUAAACUGUCAAACUAUGACUAUGCUAGAUGAAUAAGACCUGUCGGGUCUUCCUGUACUCAUCUUGUGUAAAUCUGCACUUAGCCCAGUGAAAGACCUUCCAAAACAAUUAAUCUCCUAUUUUUUACCGUCUGUUACAACUUCAUUGCAGGAAGUGUGAAAGUGAAUGGAAAUUGUGUUGAUAAUGAAAUGUCAGUACAGGAAUUGAAUGUCAGCUGUAGUGCUCAGAAGAAUAAGAGGAAAU